AAUUUUUUUCUUUUUUCCAUUGAUCAUUAUUCUAUUUAUUCCGACCUCCGUACUUCGAUCGAUAUAUUGGACAUAGAAUGCCACUCUUUAAAAAGGAAGAAAGGAGUAAUCAGCUGUGACACGAAAAAACGAAUCCUUUUGUAG
rnacentral:rRNA from 1 species